CCCCUCCCAGGGACACACCUGGAGAGUUUCCAGUACUCUAUCAGUCUCGACUACAGGAAUGAGAGUCAAGCAGAGGCAUACCCAUUCCAUUCCUAGCUUGGCCAAUGGCUAGCGAGUGGGAGACAAUCUGCUACAAGU